rnacentral:sRNA from 1 species
GCCAGGUAUGGUGACACAUGCCUGUAAUCCCAGCAGCUCUGGAGGCUGAGGCAGGAGGAUUGCAAGCUCAAAGCCAGCCUCAGCAAAAGCAAGGUGCUAAGCAGCUCAGUGAGACCCUGUCUCUA